AAAAAAAAGUUUGAGACAAAUAAGGAAGAAGGAACGAGGUUAAAACUAGAUACAAAAUUUUAUAUAAAAAUAUAUGAAUUUGCACCUAAAAUCCAUGGAGCACAUAUAGAAGCAGGUAAAUGGGGCAAAGGAAAUCUUCUUCCCCUCUCUUUUUUAAAUACUAAAACUUAUUUCCUUUGUUUUUUAAUAUUGAAUCGUUUUUUUUCUCUUUUCCCUUUCUUCUUCUCCUUCUUUUCAUCUUAUUUCCCUUCUGCAGCAAAUCUUAGCCGUUCAUCGCCGCCGAUAGCUUUCCCCUAACACUGGAACUGGAGCAAUUCACCCCAUCGGAUCAGCAACAAUGGUUCUUUGUUAAUAAUUAAGCCGAGAUAACCAAUAUUCUUUAUUUAGAUCUACUUCGAUUCCAGCAUAAGGUGGAUUUGCCUAGAGUUGUAGAUACGAUGCUUUUAUGUGAAGUAGGAAUGCCUUGGAUUGAUAGUCCGUUUAGCAUGAACAAGCAAUUAAAAAGUAAGUUUGUUGUAAAGCUUUUCGUGUGUGAUUUUCCCCUAAAAUGCCCAUUAAUUAGUGACUGUUAUUGUUUAUAAAAGAUCUAUCUGCAAAUUCUUUAGUAAUUGUUUUUCAAAUUUUCUAGUAAUGAUAUAACAUUUCCAUUAACAUUCACUUCGGGAUGAUCAUAGAGUUGAUUAAUCAAUUCAAUUUUCAAACAACCUUGAGAAUUUUGAAGUAAUCGUUCCUCAUUGUUCAAAAUGGUUCUCUUUCAAAGCUACCUAAUUUAAGACAUUUUGAAUGAUUCGUAAGCACAAUUUUAAAAUUGUCAUUUCAUAGAUGAAUGUUUUGCCCCAAAAUGUCUUUAUUUGACCCCAGCUUAGAGAAUCCUCAUGUUCUACUUUAUUUUGGUUGAUUAAUUGAAUUUUUUAUUUUCAUUUAUAUUACCAGAAAAUUAGCUAGAAAUGGAGAAGUCCUGUAAUCUUCUUAUUCACUUUGACAAAGGCACACUUGCAAUUGCUAAUGCGAUUAAAGAAGCACCUGAAGGAAAUGGCCAAAUUUGAUGAAAAGGCCCAUUUUAAAGAAAAAUUAGGGAAAUGAACUAGUUUCUCUUAUAUUUAGGGGAAUGAGUAAACUUUGUAGGACGCAGUUUUGGUCCAAUGGAUAAAUAUAGUAUCUUAUUUUUUUUUAUUUUAUGUUGUUUAAAGUUUUUUUUAAUUUAUGUUUUUAAUUAAUAAUAUAUUGUUUUCAAAUUUUUUUAUUUUUAAUUCAUC
rnacentral:lncRNA from 1 species